rnacentral:rRNA from 1 species
AAAUUGAAGAGUUUGAUCAUGGCUCAGAUUGAACGCUGGCGGCAGGCCUAACACAUGCAAGUCGAGCGGUAGCACAGAGAGCUUGCUCUCGGGUGACGAGCGGCGGACGGGUGAGUAAUGUCUGGGAAACUGCCUGAUGGAGGGGGAUAACUACUGGAAACGGUAGCUAAUACCGCAUAACGUCGCAAGACCAAAGUGGGGGACCUUCGGGCCUCAUGCCAUCAGAUGUGCCCAGAUGGGAUUAGCUAGUAGGUGG